rnacentral:tRNA from 1 species
CCGCACAUGGCCCGGCCCCGCCGUGCUGCAGUCAGGGGGCCGUGCGGGCAGGGCCGGGUAGCGGCGGCCGCGUGGCCUAAUGGAUAAGGCGUCUGACUUCGGAUCAGAAGAUUGCAGGGGCGAGCCGGCGGGGGAGGAGGCUGGCACCCGAGGUAAGUCCCCUCCGCCCGGAGCUGCGGGCACGGGCGGUGCCGGCGCUGCGGGGGCGCGAAGGAACCGGGGGUUGGGGAGCAAAGGGGGGGGCACAGCCGGGCCUGCCCCAUCCCCAUCCCCUUCCCCAUCCCGGGGCAGGGCCCUGGAGGGGCUGCGGGCUCCGUCCUAGGGCCGGGGGAGGUUGGAGGCGGCGGGGGGACAGGCGGUGGCGGUGGUCCCGGGGGUCGCGGGCAGCCCGUGCCCCGCACCCUGCCCCAUCCGUCGGGGCCGGGCCGGGGUCCCCCGGGUGGAGCAGCCCCCGGAGCCCGCUCCCAGCCCCGGGCUCCUCCCGUGCGUGUCUCAAUUCACUCAGGCUUGACUUGGCAAUAAGCUCUCUCAAUAGGGUGACAAUAGAGCCCCAGUGGGACCCGAACAAAGAAUUUGAAAGUAGUUAAAUUGCAGGACACGUCCAUCGCCUGGGUGCUUGAAUUAAAGAAAAAAAAAAUCGGAGAAAAGAAAAAGGAGAGAGACUUUUCUUUGGGCUGGUGAGAAAAUGCUCAGGGUAAAAGUUGGUUUGGCGUCUUCAUUUCAGCGACAAUGGAGCAGAGCUAAUUCAAUAGGAAACGCGGGGAUUUUUUAAUGAAAAGACCGCCAGGGUUACACCGAAGUUAAGCUCUUGUGAAUUAAUUAUUAGGGCAAAUAAACUGGGGAGGGGGGGAGCGCUCUGGAGGGAGUGUUGCAAUUUCUUAAUAUUCUCCUUUUCGUGUUUAACGACAAUGCCAUUAGGUUUCGACUCUGGGUGAGCAAAAGGAUUUCUUACACUCCCCGGGAAGAGGAGAAGACGCUUUUUAUGGUGUUACUUAAUUGCUUUUAAAAUAAAAUACUACGGAAUUUGGCAACGAGCUCCGGUUUCUGCUGGCGGUGGCGUUUGGGGUUAUAUUUCCUUUCGUGGCAACUCGCAGACGCAAAAAAUAAAAAAAAAAAAAAAAAAAAAAAAAAGGAAAAUAACGGGGAAAUUUAAAAACCCCAAUGUAAAGGCGAGGCGGCGAGUUCGGCUCUUCCAGACCCCUCGGUCUCGAUCGGUUUAUUUUCUCCUACAGAAAAAACCUGUCCGGGGCUGGCUGCGUGCUCACCAGGGCGGCGAGAGGCUCCCCAAAGCCGGUCCGGGGCAUUGCUUUGGGAGAAUCGCAGAUAAAAAAAUAGCAACCGGGUUGUGUUAACCGCAGGA